GCUGCAGGUGCACUAGCCCCCCUGUACUGCAUAGUGUCUCAGCGCUCCACGUGACAGCACACCACAUGAUGUCCUAUGUGCCGACCUCACUACCUCAAUCUUAUGCAGCCGAGUGUGAACUCAUCUCCAUGAGGGCUGCCCAGACAGCCGAGUGACUGAUCCUGCAGUGCUGCUGACUGGUGAUCGGGAUGUCAGGUCCUGCUGGCUGCUACUGAUUACCGAGCCUCAGAUAGUGCUCCCAUAAAAGCUUCACAGAUUCCAAUGCAUGAUUAUCAUACAUAGAACCCCAGAAUAUGAUCCCUUUCACUUGAUGUAAUUCCCCCAUACAAGUCUCUUUGAUUAAUUCAAUAGUUAAGAGGGAGGCUGAGAACACAGGAAAUACGAACCUCAUCUGAUCUGUUUGUCUGCACUACACUGUUUGAUCGGAAAGUGUUCUACAGAGUAAUAGAAAUAGUUAUGAUCAAAACACAGCUGCAGAGGAGUUUUGUUGCAUCCAAGACUGGUACAAAUCCAUAGGAUAACCUAACCUAUCGCCUUCACAAAGCAUCACCUCUCCCAACACAAAGCCCAUCUGUGUCUGUGGCUGCCGUUAUGUGUAGUAUGACAUGAAGACAUUGAAAUCACUAGAUGUGUGACAUUAUGUUACUCAUUCAGUGUUUUAGGGUUCUUUACCCACUAGCACUCUGGACAAUGACCUAUUGUUAAUCAUGCUCUUGGAUUAGAAAGUUAUGUAAAUAUGUAAUGACCCCAGUAUAUGUAGACAACACUUUUGUAAUCCUGAACUUGAAAAUGUUAUUAUAAUAAAAUACAUGCAGUCAAA